rnacentral:rRNA from 1 species
AACGAACGCUGGCGGCGUGCCUAACACAUGCAAGUCGAGCGAGAAAGGGGAGCAAUCCCUGAGUAAAGCGGCGAACGGGUGAGUAACACGUAGGUAACCUACCUCUCAGACUGGGACAACCUGUCGAAAGAUGGGCUAAUACUAGAUAAGACCACGACUUCUUCGGAAGAUGAGGUAAAAGAUGGCCUCUACUUGUAAGCUAUCACUAAGAGAUGGGCCUGCGUACCAUUAGCUAGUUGGUAGGGUAACGGCCUACCAAGGCUACGAUGGUUAGAUGAUCUUAGAGGAUGAUCAGCCACACUGGAACUGAAACACGGUCCAGACUCCUACGGGAGGCAGCAGUGGGGAAUCUUGCGCAAUGGGCGAAAGCUUGACGCAGCAACGCCGCGUGGGCGAAGAAGGCCUUCGGGUCGUAAAGCCCUGUCGGAGGGGACGAAACCUUUUUUGGCUAACAUCCAAGAAAAUUGACGGUACCCUCAAAGGAAGCACCGGCUAACCACGUGCCAGCCGCCGCGGUAA